rnacentral:rRNA from 1 species
CUCAGCUGGCCGCAGAGGAAGGCCAUCGCCAUUGGCGUGGCCCAAGGGCUCUGCCACUUACACCAUGGAUGCAAUAGACCGAUUGUCCACCACAACAUCACCUCUAAUAACAUCUUGCUUGAUCAGGAGUUGAAUGCCAAGAUCGCCAGUUUUGGUGCUGCACAGAUGAACAUGGCCGGGCUCAACCAACCAUUGCCUAUCGCGGGGUUUGUAUUUGGUAGCUUUGGAUAUACAGCUCCAGGUAUGGUGAGCGAUCUAUGCUUGCAAUGA